GCUGGGUGUGGUGGUGCAUGCCUGUAAUCCCAGAAGCUUGGGAGGCUGAGACAGGAGGAUCACCAGUUCAAAGCCAGCCUCAGCAAUUUAGUGAGAUGCUAAGCAGCUCAGUGAGACCCUGUCUCUA
rnacentral:sRNA from 1 species